GGAAAUCUCACCAGGCCCGGACAUAUUUAUGAUUGACUGAUGAAAAGAUCCUUCUUGAUUCUAUGGGUGGUGGUGCAUGGCCGUUCUUAGUCGGUGAGGUGACUUGUCUGGUUAAUUCCGAUAACGGACGAGAUCUCGACUUAUUAACUAAAGUGUUGAAUUUAUAUUUGACAGUUUUCUUAAUUGGACAUUGGAUGUUCAUUCCAAGGAAGUUCGAGCCUAUAA
rnacentral:rRNA from 1 species